AUACGUAGGGGGCGAGCGUUGUCCGGAAUGAUUGGGCGUAAAGGGCGCGUAGGCGGCCCGGUAAGUCUGGAGUGAAAGUCCUGUUUUUAAGAUGGGAAUUGCUUUGGAUACUGUCGGGCUUGAGUGCAGGAGAGGUAAGUGGAAUUCCCAGUGUAGCGGUGAAAUGCGUAGAGAUUGGGAGGAACACCAGUGGCGAAGGCGACUUACUGGACUGUAACUGACGCUGAGGCGCGAAAGUGUGGGGAGCAAACAGGAUUAGAUACCCUGGUAGUCCACACUGUAAACGAUGAAUGCUAGGUGUAGGGGGUAUCGACCCCUUCUGUGCCGCAGUCAACACAAUAAGCAUUCCGCCUGGGGAGUACGGCCGAAAGGUUGAAACUCAAAGGAAUUGACGGG
rnacentral:rRNA from 1 species